AUGGGCCUCUUCGGCUCCUCGGCCAAGGUGUACCGGCCGGCGCCGGAGGUCGACCUCGGCCCCGGCAGCGGCGAGCUCUACAUCAGCCCCAAUGUCAAAGCUCCGCGGGUCGCCGGCCUUCUGGUGAAGAUCUUCGUGUGGGUCCUCGAGAUGCCAAUAGUCGGCUGGGUCUUGCUCUACAUCCUCAAGAAGGACAAUCUCAUCAACAAGCUUGUCUCCGAAGCCGAGAUCCCUGAGCCGCCACUGUUUACCUCGACCCACCGCUGGGAAGACACCCCGGAGCAGAACGUCAGCCUGACCAAGCCCGGCCUGUCGCCGGCGGAGCGCGUCCGGGAGGCCGUCGACUGCCUCCCCACGCGCCUCGAGUCGACGCUCGCCGCCGACGCGCCGCAGUCCAGCCUGAAACGCUGGACGAUCAUGGACUUCUCCAGGGCCUACAGCUCGGGGGAGACCACUCCUGUCCAGGUGGCCAAGAGGUUCCUGGCCGCAGUGAAGGAGUCCUCAGGCCCUACCAUGAACAUGGCCUUCUUCAUCAGCUGCAACCCUGAGGACGUCUUGAAGCAGGCCGAGGAGUCCACCCUCAGAUACCAGACAGGGACACCGCUGUCAGUGAUGGACGGCGUGCUGGUGGCGGUGAAAGACGAGAUCGACUGCUUGCCCUACCCCACCACAGGCGGGACGCGGUGGCUGGGGAAGGCGCGGCCGUGCGAGGCGGACGCGGCGUGCGUGGCGCAGCUGCGCGCGUGCGGCGCCGUCCUCGCCGGCAAGACCAACAUGCACGAGCUCGGCGCCGGCACCAGCGGCAUCAACCCACACCACGGAUCGGCGAGGAACCCGUACAACGUCGGCAAGGUGGCUGGGGGCUCCUCCAGCGGCUCGGCCGCCGUGGUCUGUGCUGGCCUCUGCCCCGUCGCGCUCGGCGUCGACGGAGGAGGCUCUGUCCGGAUGCCGGCAGCACUGUGUGGCGUGGUCGGCUUCAAGCCCACCGCCGGACGCCUCUCCAACGCCGGAGUUCUUCCACUGAAUUGGACGGUCGGGAUGGCGGGUAUCUUGGCAGGAACAGUGGAGGACGCCGUCGUAGCUUACUCGGCCAUUGUUGAUCAGUCCCAACCAUCUUACUUGAGGCCUGAGCUGAAUCUGCCUAUGCUGACGUCGACACCCUCAAUUAGCAACGUCAGGCUAGCAAAAUAUGGAAAGUGGUUUAACGACAGUUCCGAGGACAUCAGAACCUGCUGUGACAAAGCUCUUCAGACACUGCGCGCACAAUACGGCUGGGAGACUCUGGAUGUGACGGUCCCGGAGAUCGAGGAAAUGCGGCUCGCACACUACGUGACGAUCGGAUCAGAAUGCACUGCUUCACUUGCAAAGUAUCUCGACAAACUGAAGAGGUCCGAGAUCGGGUGGGACGUGAGAGUCGCGCUGGCUGUCUACGGGUCAUUCAGCAGCAGAGCUUACCUCAACUCACAACGACUCCGGAAUCGUCAGAUGUUCUUUCACAAAGAGAUCUUCAAGACAGCAGAUGUCAUCGUCUCACCAAUGACCGGCGUGACUGCCUACACAUUACAAGAUGACGCGCUAAACAGUGGUGAACUCGACUACAUAAACGGAGCCGCGUUGAUUCGGUACUCGAUAGCAGGGAACUUCCUUGGUUUGCCGGCGAUAACAGUCAUGGUUGGGCAAGAUAAGGGCGGGCUGCCCAUAGGUCUUCAGUUCAUUGGCAGGCCGUGGUCCGAGGCGACUCUGCUCCACAUCGCAUUCGCAAUGCAGGAAGCCUGCAGCAAGAACCACAGGAAACCUGUGGUGUUCUAUGAUCUCCUCAAGAAAGACUGA
rnacentral:rRNA from 1 species